GGUAACAGCGUGUCACACAUGUGAUGUCAUAACCAUUGUCCACCAAAGAGCAGCACUGAGCAGAAAUAACACUGCUCCUGUUCAUUCUCCAUCAGUGAGGGGCCGGUGCUGGACACUGUGUAGGGACGCGGGAAUGCAAAGUCAUACACAUGACUGUGACUGAUGCACUAUCUCCAGGACAUGGAGUAGCAUUUCCGGACCUACAGCAAGACGUUGGAUGAAGGCAUAGCCCCAGAAAUAACACUGGUCCUGUUCAUCAGUGAGGGGCCGGUGCUGGACACUGUGUAGGGACACGGGAAUGCAAAGUCAUGCACAUGACUGUGACUGAUGCACUAUUUCCAGGACAUGGAGUAGCAUUUCGGGACCUACAGCAAGACGUUGGAUGAAGGCACAGGCCUAGGAAUCAUGCACAUACACAGAAACAUUUGCCCAAAUUAUAGAGGUAACCUCCUUUAAUAUGCCCAGAGGAAGGGCCAUACAGUAGCCAUGGAUUCCCUACAGGUUUCCUCCCCUCUGGAGGUUUUUCCUGUCCUGAGUAUUAGUUACUGUACGCUCUUUGUGAG